AAAUAAACAGAGACAGUUGUGUGUUAUUUACCUGUGAUGAACAUCGAUUUUGUCUUAACACAGAUGAAUAAUGAUGACCACACAACACUGAAUUGACUUCCAUUGUACACAAAAACUAGACUCCAGGACCACGUGCAGGGGCUGAGAUGGCGUUAGGCGCCCGGGGUCGACCGUGGAAUCGUCGUACACCACCAGUUCUUUGGAAAAAAUGCCCUUGAAGGACUCUUUACUCUGCCG